rnacentral:lncRNA from 1 species
AUUAGCUUUCCUACUGAUCACAACCACAGUCGCUGUGUUGUAUUUCCUUUGGAAGAAGAAAGUGCCAAGAACGAACCUGGAGGAAAUACAUAAUACUGCAUUCACUAACCCAUUGUACGACGAUCAUAGCUCACCUGGGGAAGUAAAGAUUCCUGAGUGUAUAGCUUCACGUGUUGUUCAAAUCAGUGUUUCCCCAUGGCAAAUGCAGCAGGAGGUAUGUAUCAAUAAUUUUCUUUUCAAAAUGCCAUGUUCAUUCCUAUGAUGGGUAUUUC